UGGAAGCGUAGUAAUGCGUUGAGCUAACCCGUACUAAUUGCCCGUGAGGCUUAACCAUACAACACCGAAGGUGUUU
rnacentral:rRNA from 1 species